CGGGACGGGUGAGUAAUGUCUGGGAAACUGCCUGAUGGAGGGGGGUAACUACUGGAAACGGUAGCUAAUACCGCAUAACGUCGCAAGACCAAAGUGGGGGACCUUCGGGCCUCUUGCCAUCGGAUGUGCCCAGAUGGGAUUAGCUAGUAGGUGGGGUAACGGCUCACCUAGGCGACGAUCCCUAGCUGGUCUGAGAGGAUGACCAGCCACACUGGAACUGAGACACGGUCCAG
rnacentral:rRNA from 1 species